rnacentral:rRNA from 11 species
GCGUAACAGCUCACUGGUCGAGCGACAGGGCAUCGAUGAUGAUCGGGCAUUAAGUAUAGUACCGAAGCUAAGGAUUUCAGUUUACUGAAAUGGUAGGGGAGCAUUCUAUUCCGCGAUGAAGCAGUCUGGUAAUGGAUUGUGGAGCGUAUAGAAAAGCAAAUGUAGGCAUAAGUAACGAUAAGGCGGGUGAGAAACCCGCCCACCGAUAGACUAAGGAUUCCUGAUCAACGCUAAUCGGAUCAGGGUUAGUCGGGACCUAAGGCGAACCCGAAAGGGGUAGUCGAUGGACAAUGGGUUAAUAUUCCCAUACUACCGUAUUCAGCGAUGGGGUGACGGAGUAGUGAAAGUCUCGCGUACUGACGGAAUAGUACGUUGAAGGGUGUAGUUAUAUUUUUGGUAGGCAAAUCCGCCAGAGAUGAUGAACCUGAUAGUACCGCAAUCCUUCGGGAGCGUGGAUAUGGACCUAAUCAGACUUCCAAGAAAAACCUCUAAGUAAUGAAUAUGGUACCCGUACCGCAAACCGACACAGGUAGUCAAGGAGAGAAUCCUGAGGUGCUCGAGUGAUCCGUGGCUAAGGAACUAGGCAAAAU